rnacentral:rRNA from 1 species
GACGAACGCUGGCGGCGUGCCUAAUACAUGCAAGUAGAACGCUGAAGGAGUAGCUUGCUUCUCUGGAUGAGUUGCGAACGGGUGAGUAACGCGUAGGUAACCUGCCUUGUAGUGUGGGAUAACUAUUGGAAACGAUAGCUAAUACCGCAUAAGAGUAGAUGUUGCAUGACAUUUGCGUAAAAUUUGCAAUUGCAUCACUACCAUAUGGACCUGCGUUGUAUUAGCUAGUUGGUGGGGUAACGGCUCACCAAGGCGACGAUACAUAGCCGACCUGAGAGGGUGAUCGGCCACACUGGGACUGAGACACGGCCCAGACUCCUACGGGAGGCAGCAGUAGGGAAUCUUCGGCAAUGGACGGAAGUCUGACCGAGCAACGCCGCGUGAGUGAAGAAGGUUUUCGGAUCGUAAAGCUCUGUUGUAAGAGAAGAACGAGUGUGAGAGUGGAAAGUUCACACUGUGACGGUAGCUUACCAGAAAGGGACGGCUAACUACGUG